AGUGAACGCUGGCGGUAGGCCUAACACAUGCAAGUCGAACGGCAGCACAGUAAGAGCUUGCUCUUACGGGUGGCGAGUGGCGGACGGGUGAGGAAUACAUCGGAAUCUACUUUUUCGUGGGGGAUAACGUAGGGAAACUUACGCUAAUACCGCAUACGACCUACGGGUGAAAGCAGGGGAUCUUCGGACCUUGCGCGAUUGAAUGAGCCGAUGUCGGAUUAGCUAGUUGGCGGGGUAAAGGCCCACCAAGGCGACGAUCCGUAGCUGGUCUGAGAGGAUGAUCAGCCACACUGGAGCUGAGACACGGUCCAGACGCCUACGGGAGGCAGCAGUGGGGAAUAUUGGACAAUGGGCGCAAGCCUGAUCCAGCCAUACCGCGUGGGUGAAGAAGGCCUUCGGGUUGUAAAGCCCUUUUGUUGGGAAAGAAAAGCAGCAGGUUAAUACCCCGCUGUUCUGACGGUACCCAAAGAAUAAGCACCGGCUAACUUCGUG
rnacentral:rRNA from 1 species